rnacentral:rRNA from 1 species
GAUGAACGCUGGCGGCGUGCCUAAUACAUGCAAGUCGAGCGAACAGAUAAGGAGCUUGCUCCUUUGACGUUAGCGGCGGACGGGUGAGUAACACGUGGGUAACCUACCUAUAAGACUGGAAUAACUCCGGGAAACCGGGGCUAAUGCCGGAUAACAUUUAGAACCGCAUAGUUCUAAAGUGAAAGAUGGUUUUGCUAUCACUUAUAGAUGGACCCGCGCCGUAUUAGCUAGUUGGUAAGGUAAUGGCUUACCAAGGCAACGAUACGUAGCCGACCUGAGAGGGUGAUCGGCCACACUGGAACUGAGACACGGUCCAG